AGAACUACCCAAGAUACAAACCACAUUUCUGAGAGCUCUUCCAAACGCUCCUUGAACACUUGGGGCCAUGCCCACCGCCCUCUGGUGCAGCACCUGUCCCUAACCCCCAGCUGCCCCUCCCCUGACACAGCUCCAUGCCGUUCCCUCGGGCCCUGUCGCUGUCACACAGAGCAGAGCUCAGCGCUGCCCCUCCGCUCCCUGUGAGGAGCUGCAGCUGCCAUCAGGCCUCCCCUCAGCUCCUCUGCUCUGCACUGAGCAAACACAGGGACUUCAGCUGCUCCUCGUACAUCUUGCCAUCAAGACCCUUCCCAUCCCUAUAGCCCUCCUUUGGGCUAAUGGUUUUAUGUCCUUAUAUUGCAGUACCCAAAGCGCAUGCAGUGCUGGAGGUGAGGCCACACAGUGUAGAGCAGAGAUGGACAACUCCUUCCCUUGCCUGGUGGCAGUGCUGGGCCCAGUAAACCCCAGGAUUGCCUAUCCAUGUCAGACAGCAAGCCAGGCGCUGCUGUCAGAUGUUGCUCCAACACAGAGCAAAUAGACUGUUCUUAUCCUUAGGAUUACUAUUCAGCAGGCAGAUGUUCAGCCUCUCCCAGGAAAGGAGGGCUCAUCGUGCAUAAUGGUUUCUGGAAAAGUCAAACUUCAUCACUCCAAACAUCCUGCCUUCCUCCUUCUUUCCCCCAGCUUUUAUUGCUGAGCACAACACUACAUGGUGUGGGACACCCUCUUGAGCUGUGGCUUCUCCCUGAAGGAUUUCAACACUUCUGAUGGUACUUUUGGUGGAAAAGGUACCAUUUGGUGGCAGCAUUCUGAUGGAUUGAUACAGGGAAAAGGUGGAGGAACUGCAAUAAAAUGUGUACUGAACACAACCCUUAAAAGCAAAUUUUGCAACAUCUCAGAUCUCUGAACAUAACUCAGUAACAGGAUUAUGAGUCUUAGGGUGUUCCUUGGAUGCUAUAAAAUAGAAAUUGAGAUCUCCGAUUGGAACUCAGUACUUUCCCAGGUAGGUAUGUUGAAUGAAUCAGUGUGAAUAAAAAGAGAGAAUCCUCGUUUAAUACUUUUUUACUCCAGGGAAUGAUAAUCAGUUGAAGAAGCAACAACAAAAAAAACAGCUCUUCAACAUGUAAAACAUUGGUUUCAGGUUUCACAACAAAGAAAUAUCACUGACACAUGCUAGCACAAUAAACAUAAGACAACUGCACCAAGAGGCUCAAAAUAUCCUUCCUUACAUAUGCACAAAAUUCAGAUUUGUUUUAAGCCGUAGUAAGUUCAUUAACUGUAAAAAUUUAUUCUGUUAAAAUUGCACUUGUCGUAGGUCUGAACAUAACAUUGGCAAUCCACAUUAACAGCAGAAAGAGUGCUUAUUUCCGUUCUACAGUAUAGCAGAGACAAGUAAAAAAAGAUAAACUCAGCAUUUGUGAAAGGCCACUUUGACUACUGAAAGCUUAAAUCAUAGCCAAAUUAUAAAACAAUUUGAUUUAUGCAUGUUAAUGCCAAAUAAGUGCCAUUCACUG
ensembl:lncRNA